rnacentral:tRNA from 1 species
GCCCCUAUAGCUCAGCCGGUAGAGCAGCAGCCUUUUAAGCUGACGGUCGCAGGUUCGAUCCCUGCUGGGGGCA